AGCUCCAAUAGCGUAUAUUAAAGUUGUUGCAGUUAAAACGCUCGUAGUCGGAUUUCGGGGCGGGCCUGCCGGUCUGCCGUUCGGUACGUACUGGCGGGCGCGUCCUUCCUUUCGGAGACCGCGCCUCCUCUUAACUGAGCGGGCGCGGGAGACGGAUCGUUUACUUUGAAAAAAUCAGAGUGUUUCAAGCAGGCAGCUCGCUCUUGCAUGGAUUAGCAUGGGAUAAUGAAAUAGGACUCUGGUGCUAUUUUGUUGGUUUCGAACACCGGAGUAAUGGUCAACAGGGACAGUCAGGGGCACUCGUAUUCCGCCGAGAGAGGUGAAAUUCUCAGACCAGCGGAAGACGAACCACUGCGAAAGCAUUUGCCAGGGAUGUUUUCA
rnacentral:rRNA from 1 species